rnacentral:rRNA from 1 species
AGUGAACGCUGGCGGUAGGCCUAACACCCGCACCCCGAACGGCAGCACAGUAAGAGCCUGCUCUUACGGGUGGCGAGUGGCGGACGGGUGAGGAAUACAUCGGAAUCUACUUUUUCGUGGGGGAUAACGUAGGGAAACUUACGCUAAUACCGCAUACGACCUACGGGUGAAAGCAGGGGAUCUUCGGACCUUGCGCGAUUGAAUGAGCCGAUGUCGGAUUAGCUAGUUGGCGGGGUAAAGGCCCACCAAGGCGACGAUCCGUAGCUGGUCUGAGAGGAUGAUCAGCCACACUGGAACUGAGACACGGUCCAGACUCCUACGGGAGGCAGCAGUGGGGAAUAUUGGACAAUGGGCGCAAGCCUGAUCCAGCCAUACCGCGUGGGUGAAGAAGGCCUUCGGGUUGUAAAGCCCUUUUGUUGGGAAAGAAAAGCAGCAGGUUAAUACCCCGCUGUUCUGACGGUACCCAAAGAAUAAGCACCGGCUAACUUCGUG